rnacentral:rRNA from 1 species
GCGAGUGGCGAACGGGUGAGUAACAUAUCGGAACGUGCCCUGGAGUGGGGGAUAACUAGUCGAAAGAUUAGCUAAUACCGCAUACGAUCUACGGAUGAAAGUGGGGGAUCGCAAGACCUCAUGCUCGUGGAGCGGCCGAUAUCUGAUUAGCUAGUUGGUGGGGUAAAGGCCUACCAAGGCAUCGAUCAGUAGCUGGUCUGAGAGGACGACCAGCCACACUGGGACUGAGACACGGCCCAGACUCCUACGGGAGGCAGCAGUGGGGAAUUUUGGACAAUGGGCGCAAGCCUGAUCCAGCAAUGCCGCGUGAGUGAAGAAGGCCUUCGGGUUGUAAAGCUCUUUUGUCAGGGAAGAAACGGUGAGUUCUAAUACAGCUCACUAAUGACGGUACCUGAAGAAUAAGCACCGGCUAACUACGUGCCAGCAGCCGCGGUAAUACGUAGGGUGCAAGCGUUAAUCGGAAUUACUGGGCGUAAAGCGUGCGCA